UCAGGGUGUGUGUUUGUAUGUGUGUCAGGGUAUGUAGCUGUGUGUCAGACACAGAUACAUACCCUGGCACACAUACAGAUACACACCCUGAAA